rnacentral:rRNA from 1 species
AGUGAACGCUGGCGGUAGGCCUAACACAUGCAAGUAGAACGGCAGCACAGUAAGAGCUUGCUCUUACGGGUGGCGAGUGGCGGACGGGUGAGGAAUACAUCGGAAUCUACUUUUUCGUGGGGGAUAACGUAGGGAAACUUACGCUAAUACCGCAUACGACCUACGGGUGAAAGCAGGGGAUCUUCGGACCUUGCGCGAUUGAAUGAGCCGAUGUCGGAUUAGCUAGUUGGCGGGGUAAAGGCCCACCAAGGCGACGAUCCGUAGCUGGUCUGAGAGGAUGAUCAGCCACACUGGAACUGAGACACGGUCCAGACUCCUACGGGAGGCAGCAGUGGGGAAUAUUGGACCAUGGGCGCAAGCCUGAUCCAGCCAUACCGCGUGGGUGAAGAAGGCCUUCGGGUUGUAAAGCCCUUUUGUUGGGAAAGAAAAGCAGCAGGUUAAUACCCCGCUGUUCUGACGGUACCCAAAGAAUAAGCACCGGCUAACUUCGUG